UUUUCAAGAGUCGAGUUGUUUGGGAUUGCAGCCCAAAAUGGGAGGUAAAUUUCUCCUAAAGCUAAAUAUUGGCGAGAGACCGAUAGCGAACAAGUACCGUGAGGGAAAGAUGAAAAGAACUUUGAAAAGAGAGUUAAACAGUACGUGAAAUUGUUGAAAGGGAAACGAUUGAAGUCAGUCGUACCAACGGGUAAUCAAUUCAUCGAGUGUUGAAUUUGGAUCUUAAAGAGUCUUAAAACCUUUGGGUUUCGGAUAUUUUCACUUUUUUGAACGUAUUUUCUCGUACGGUAGGUUAACAUCGAUUUUGAAGAUUAUAAAAUGAUCGGAGGAAUGUAGCUUCGAUCUCGUAUUGGAGUGUUAUAGCCUUUGGUAGAUGUAAUGAUCAAGAUCGAGGAUUGCAACGAAUACCCUUUUGGGCUAUCCGUCUGAUCUCUGAUACGUUGCCUCGGUAACGAAAGCGUGCUUACGGUAUUGAGGUAUUACGGUCAAAAGGUUAGAACGUGAUUACAUUCGUU
rnacentral:rRNA from 1 species